rnacentral:rRNA from 1 species
UACCCUAUUAUAUUAGGUGUGAUUUUUUUACUUGGGUAGUAUUAGUUAUGUUCUUGAAACUUAAAAAAUUUGGCGGUAUUUUAUUCUUUCCAGAGGAACCUGUUCUUUAAUUGAUAAUCCACGAUUUUAUUUACUUAUAUUUGUAAUCAGUUUUUAUAUCUCCGUCAUAAGAAUAUUUUUUUAGAAUAAAUUUUCUUAGUUAUUUAAGGUUAAAAUGUCAGGUCAAGGUGAAAUUUAUGUAUAAGUAGAAAUGGGUUACAAUAAGGUUACUUAUAACGGAUAGUGUGUAUUGAAUCAUGCUUAAAGGUGGAUUUGGGAGUAAAAAAAUUUUUAUUAACUUUUUGAUUUUAGCUCUAAAUUAUGUACACAUCGCC